UACAGAGGUCCCGAGCGUUGUUCGGAUUCACUGGGCGUAAAGGGUGCGUAGGCGGUUCUGUAAGUCUGAUGUGAAAUCUCCGGGCCCAACCCGGAAAUGGCAUUAGAAACUACAGGGCUAGAGGCUUGGAGGGGGAACUGGAAUGCUCGGUGUAGCAGUGAAAUGCGUAGAGAUCGAGCGGAACACCAGUGGCGAAGGCGAGUUCCUGGACAAGUCCUGACGCUGAGGCACGAAAGCCAGGGGAGCAAACAGG
rnacentral:misc_RNA from 1 species